UACGGAGGGUGCAAGCGUUAUCCGGAUUUACUGGGUUUAAAGGGUGCGUAGGCGGCGCGGUAAGUCGGGUGUGAAAUCUCGGGGCUUAACUCCGAAACUGCAUUCGAUACUGCCGUGCUUGAGGACUGGAGAGGAGACUGGAAUUUACGGUGUAGCGGUGAAAUGCGUAGAUAUCGUAAGGAAGACCAGUGGCGAAGGCGGGUCUCUGGGACGGUACUGACGCUGAGACGCGAAAGCGUGGGGAGCGAACAGG
rnacentral:rRNA from 1 species